GGUCUAGUGGUGGUCUAGGGAGGUCUAGUUGUGGUCUAGGGUGGUCUAGGGUGGUCUAGGGUGGUCUAGGUGGUCUAGGGUGGUCUAGUUGUGGUCUAGGGUGGUCUAGUUGUGGUCUAGUGGUGGUCUAGGGUGGUCUAGUUGUGGUCUAGGGGUGGUCUAGGGUGGUCUAGUUGUGGUCUAGUUGUGGUCUAGGGUGGUCUAGGGGUGGUCGUUGGUGGUCUAGUGGUGGUCUAGUGGUGGUCUAGGGUGGUCUAGGGUGGUCUAGUUGUGGUCUAGUUGUGGUCUAGGGUGGUCUAUGGUGGUCCUAGUUGUGGUCUAGGGUGGUCUAGGGUGGUCUGGGGUGGUCUGUGGUGGUCUAUGGUGGUCUAUGAUGGUCUAUGGUGGUCUAGGGUGGUCUAGGGUAGUCUAGUUGUGGUCUAGUUGUGGUCUAGUUGUGGUCUAUG
rnacentral:lncRNA from 1 species